CAUCAGUAGCCAGCCUCAACCUACACUGCUUGUUGCUCUCCUCUGCCUUUGGAGCUGGCUGCAGUGGGCACAGAGCUGAGUUCAGGCUGCUGGCUUGAGCACAGGGGUCCUGCCCUGCCAGACUCUGCUCUGCACCCAGGGCAGGACUUCAGUCCCUGCUGCUCCAGGAGAGCCUUUGGGGGACUUCUGCUCCUCAAACCCUUGCCAGACAAGGAGGUGUAGAGGUAUUAGGGAGAUUUUUGACCAAAAGUGGUCAAAGAAAUGUAUCAUUCUGGCUGUUUGUGCUUAUUGUUUGUACUUGUGUGGAACAUCUAAGGAAACCAAGCUUUGCUUCCGCCCUUCACAUUCCUGAACAGCAAGAAACACCCACACCAAGUGCCUCUUUGGAUUUCCUGGCAGCAAGCUGAGUUGUGGCUUUUUGAGGCUGCAGGAGGCUGAUUUACACAUUCUCCCAUCAGCUCACCUCUCCCCAGCCCGUGGGAUGCUGAGGGCCCUGCUCCACAGCUCUUGCAGGUGGAAUAACUCAUUGCCCAGGUGGGAGAUCCAAGAGAGAGCAGUGAGAAGAGACUUUAUUGCACUGUGUGGUGAAAGAAGGGAGAAAACCGUGAGCUGCUGACACCUCUGGUCUUGCAAAGAAGAGCAGAGCAGAAGGAAUGGUUGGA